rnacentral:lncRNA from 1 species
AGGAAGUUAACCAGAAUCAUAUUCCAAUAAUCUUAACAUAUCCUAGGGUAAUAUUCAACGAGUCAAAAUAUACAAUAAUGUUUACAAUUCAAAAAUUAGCAUACAUAAGUUUGAAAAUGUUUGAAAAUAAAAGAUUUCUGAAAGAUUUGAAGUUUCAGCAACAAUCAAUCGUUACUCUUAAGUAAGGUCUCACUGCUUUUCUCUGCCUUUUGUUCAUUUGCUCCACCUACAAAAGAUAGAUAAAUAAAUGAUUCACUAAAAAAAACUUAAAAACCCUUUUAAGAUGUCAAGCAAUAAGAUCAGGACCAUCUUUCAUGGUACGAUGAGUCAGCCGCAUGGUACUACAACUAAAAUAGAGAUUCAGAUACAACAACAACAACUACCCAGUAUACUCCCACCAGGUGGGGUCUGGGGAGGGUAAUAUGAUUGCACGGGCUUCCACCAAUUACCAAAUCAAAUCCUCCAAAUGACUCUAUCAGUUGCUCCAAGCGGUCUCCAUUCAGCUGCUGCACAUCGUUAAAAUGUAUAAGAUUCCCUCUCUGAUUAGUUUGCUCCAAAUAGAGAUUGAGAUAGAUAUGACAAAAAACACAAAUAAAAAGACAAAACAUAACUAAAAUAUAACAUUUCUAAAAUAACUUGAUAAACAUCAGCUCUAUCUUCACCAAGGGCUGGUCAAGUUAUAAGAUCAAGAAUCACUUGAAGGCAGCCAACAUCUAAAACGUACUGUCAAACAAAUGAAUUAAAAUUUAGUAAGUCAGGACCAUUGGUGGCGUGCAACCUAAACGAAUGUGUUGAAUUUCAUUAUCCACAGAAGGCUAUCAAGUGUUUAACUACAUGGAAUCGCACGGAACGAGAACUAUGAGACUGAACUGACCAUCAAGGAUUUUCAAUUAACAACAUGAAAGAGAUGCGUGCAUGUAAAAACGCAUGAACAGGGGGCUCAAUGCAAUGAUUAACACACCCAGACUUCAUCAGCAAAGGAUCCUAAUCAUAAAGGCAACAUCCAUUGAUUCAUGUGAAUGAUCAUGAGAGAGACUAACUCUAAUGAAUCAAAAAGCACUGACAAUGACUCGUUACAAAUUAAAACAGAGAAGACCAAAACCCAGGCAAAUCAUGAUUUAUUCUGCAGAAUUAUCCUCUAAUCACAGCAAGUAGCUACCUUAUUCAUAUCAAAGUACAAAAUUCAUAGCCAUCUCGAAGUCCAUAGUUAUCACUUCAGACAAAAAAACUUUGGACAAAAAAUAACACAAGCAGAAUAUAACUAAUAUUGUAUUACAGAAUACACGAGCUUAUGUAAAGUCUAAAAUUAAGAUGAUACAAAAAAUUAAGAAUGCAAGUCUCUCUCUUGUAUCAAAGUAAAUAUUAAGAUUCCAAACUUCGAAAAAUUGGUUGGAAAAGGAAGAUUCAAAAACAUAUAAAAUUUGGGACUCACAUGGUUCUUAAAAUUCAUUUUUGAACUGGAUCAUGUAUAUUGCAAUCAUAUUUUUCUUUUUCAUGCGCUUUUUAUGCUGGGACCAGUCAGCAGUUAUUUAUUUCACAUUUAUCAUCUUCUUAAAAGCCAAAGAAGAAUGUAGAAGCCUGUGGUUAUAGUUAUUUAUAUAACUGUUAUAAUGAGUGUUGGAGGCCUAGUACAAUCAGAUGCCUCUAGGAUGCUUCAUAGUAUUUCUCAAGUGGUUUUCCUAAGAUUGCUUCAACGAACCCCAGGAUUACCAACUUGAAGUUGGUGAAUGAAAAACAGAGAAAAACUACUAAUUUUGCUGUUCAAAACAAAAAAAUUGGCCAAAGGCUGCUUGUGUUUUUGAAUAAUGAGAAAUCACGUUAUUCAGCUAGUUUACAGCUAUAUGAAGGAAGAUAUCCAACUCUAACUAGAUAGAAUAUAGAUCAACAAAGUUAAUUCAGUGGAUCCUAUAAGAAAACAACUUAUUUAAUCUUAUUCGGAAUUCCCUCAGUAAUAACACCAGUAGAAUCUUCUGCUGGUCAGACAAAAAUGAUGGAAAAGAAAAUUCUUCUCAUUUCUCGGAAUACCCCUUUGUCUCAACAACAACAACAACUACCCAUUAUACUCCCACCAGGUGGGGUCUGGGGAGGGUAAUAUGUAGACAAGCCUUACCCCUACCCGAAAGGGC